UUAGCGUUGGGUGAGUGGUUGAAGCCAGCCGAUUACGAAUCGGCCAUACAGGCAACUGUAUCGUGGGUUCGAAUCCCACCCGCUCCGCCA
rnacentral:tRNA from 5 species